rnacentral:rRNA from 1 species
AGAGUUUGAUUCUGGCUCAGGAUGAACGCUGGCGGCGUGCCUAACACAUGCAAGUCGAGCGGAGUUAGAUGGAGACUCUCGGACGAUUCGUUAACUUAGCGGCGGAUGGGUGAGUAACACGUGGGUAACCUGCCCUGCAUUGGGGGAUAACAGCUGGAAACGGCUGUUAAUACCGCAUAUGCGCACGGAGCCGCAUGGCUUUGGGCGGAAAGAUUGCAUCGAUGCAGGAUGGGCCCGCGCCGGAUUAACUUGUUGGCAGGGUAACGGCCUACCAAGGUGAUGAUCCGUAGCCGGCCUGAGAGGGCGACCGGCCACAUUGGGACUGAGACACGGCCCAAACUCCUACGGGAGGCAGCAGUGGGGAAUAUUGCACAAUGGGCGCAAGCCUGAAUGCAGCGACGCCGCGUGAAGGAAGAAGUAUCUCGGUAUGUAAACUUCUAUCAGCGGGGAAGAAGAUGACGGUACCCGACUAAGAAGCCCCGGCUAACUACGUGCCAGCCGCAGC